UACGUAGGGGGCAAGCGUUGUCCGGAAUCAUUGGGCGUAAAGCGCACGUAGGCGGAUCGUUAAGUCGGGGGUGAAAUCCUGGAGCUCAACUCCAGAACUGCCUUCGAUACUGGCGAUCUCGAGUCCGGAAGAGGUGAGUGGAACUCCUAGUGUAGAGGUGGAAUUCGUAGAUAUUAGGAAGAACACCAGUGGCGAAGGCGGCUCACUGGUCCGGUACUGACGCUGAGGUGCGAAAGCGUGGGGAGCAAACCGG
rnacentral:rRNA from 1 species